UACGUAGGUGGCAAGCGUUGUCCGGAUUUAUUGGGCUUAAAGGGUGCGUAGGCGGCUUUGUAAGUCUGUGGUGAAAUACGGUAGCUUAACUAUCGAGGUGCCAUUGAUACUGCAGAGCUUGAGUACAGAUGAGGUAGGCGGAAUUGACGGUGUAGCGGUGAAAUGCUUAGAUAUCGUCAAGAACACCUAUAGCGAAGGCAGCUUACUAGGCUGUAACUGACGCUGAGGCACGAAAGUGUGGGGAUCAAACAGG
rnacentral:rRNA from 1 species